AAGUGGAUUAUUGGCGCACGGGUGAGUAACGCAUAGGUAACAUGCCCUUUAGUCUGGGAUAGCCACUGGAAACGGUGAUUAAUACUGGAUACUCCCUACGGGGGAAAGUUUUUCGCUAAAGGAUUGGCCUAUGUCCUAUCAGCUUGUUGGUGAGGUAAUGGCUCACCAAGGCUAUGACGGGUAUCCGGCCUGAGAGGGUGAUCGGACACACUGGAACUGAGACACGGUCCAGACUCCUACGGGAGGCAGCAGUAGGGAAUAUUGCUCAAUGGGGGAAACCCUGAAGCAGCAACGCCGCGUGGAGGAUGAAGGUUUUAGGAUUGUAAACUCCUUUUGUAAGAGAAGAUU
rnacentral:rRNA from 1 species